rnacentral:lncRNA from 1 species
AGCAUGCUUAGGCGUGGCCGUCUUGCAUAUCAUUAAAAACCACAAAGGAGUAAUUGUAGAUUGGAAUGUGCAUUUCGUUCUGAACCGGUUUGGCAUUGCGGUAGUGCUAUGGACUCCAUAUUCAAGAGCAGCCUGUCUACUUGAAGAAGAAGCAUAUCGUGUACUUUACGAAAUUUGCCGUAUAGUGAUCAGCGUUGUCGUCUAAAUGUUUCUCUGGAAGUUGCUGGUGACAAGCUUGCAGAAUGUAUUGCCCCGUCAGUGUUGCUCCUCAAUAUGGAAAUGACAGCCGACAAAUAUUAAUUUCCCUUCACAAACUUCUGAUUGAGAGAAGCAAGAAACAAUUUGAGUGGAGUACAGACACAAAGGGGUCCAAGAUGGCACCACUGAUGUCCAAGGGAUUGGCUGCCUACCUGCUUCAAUUCUCACCUUCAAGACUGGAUGCACUCACCUUAGAGAAGGGCAAAUCCAUGGCAACGGCUGUAUUAGCAAGUCUGGGUUUUUUAUAAUGAACACUUUUCGACUGAAAGUAUUCACAUGGAAGCGUUGUAUUAAACUAGGGUUAGUAAACCAACCAUUCAAAUCCAGUCAGUGAUUGAAUCCAUUUGUUGCCAUGGAUUUGCUUUACAAAAAACGAACUGUUUUGCCGAAAGUUGGUUUUGGACCAGGCACAUGUAGUUUUAUGCCAUAAAAAAAUGGCAAAAUCCAUCUUCCUCACAUUGACCAAAUUUAUGGUUAUCUAAAAAGCUCUCUAUCUCCAUUUAGUUGAGAUGCCUGGGACUUUUUGGAUCAAAAUUAAUCUGAUUUCCUUGACAGGUAUUUUAACAGGUAUUUGAUAAUUCCAACAUGUGCCUGGUUCAGUUCUUUUUUUUCUGAAAAGGUUAUAUUUAACGAAGUAUUAGAAAUACUUGUAUACUGUGUGUAAAUGAAAUUGGAAUCUACACCAGCACAUCAUAUUAUAUAUUUUUUUUCUUUAGCGAGGAAAAGUACCGAUGAAAUUCAAUUGUUGAAGUUGUACACAUGAAAUGCAUUACAUUUGCCGCAAUAAAGUGCUUGGUUACAUUCAUCGUAAAUAGUGAAGUUAAAUACUGUCACAGAGUUAAAUACAGUCGCAAUGUGAAGUUUAAUUUGUUUGGUGUAAAAAAGCAAUGUGCAUUAUAGACUUCAAGAGGUCCUUUGAAACCAAAGCCCUCCCCCUUGACACUUCUGUAAUUGAUUGUAAUUUAGCUCCGCAUUUUAAUGUGUCAAGACCUUUUUUCCCGACUUUUCUGAAACUUCUAAGAUAUCUAUCAUUAAAUUUCUUCAGGCUCCUUGACAGCUUUUUUGGUACGUUUAAACGUUGCGGACAAUUUUUUUACUAUCAUACAUGUAUGAUGUGCUGGUGUAGAUUGUCCUUGUGUUAAUUGCUGAAUUAAAAAUAUGUGUUUUAUGGCGUGUGUUUUGUGGUCAUUGUGCCUGCUGCCUAUUUUACAACUUUGCAGAGCAAUUUGCCAUUGUUUUUAACAGAAACAAAUGAAAUACAAGUGCUGUAGAUCUGAAGGAACCAGCCAAUUUCUUCCUAUUUCAUCCAUCACCAUGUUUAAUUCAAAGAUGUGCAGAAAUUAGCUAAAACAGGCAGCAGGCGUGUUUGUUCAAUUUGGUUUACUUAUUGCUUGGAAUGGGGGGACGGAGGCAAAGGAGUUUGUUUUCUCUAAAUGCACACUACUGCACCACUGUUGAAUGAGAGCGCCCUCAAGCUAGGUGGAGUGUGCAAGUAAUCAGGUAACGUGAAAGAGCGCCCUCAAUAACUUGGUUUUUGGUGCAACGUGUAAGUUAUUUCAAAUGCCAGUUGAAGGACUGUUGGAUGAAGGGCGCCCUCAAUCUCAUGUUGGAGUUUUUCUCUGAAUGCACACUACUGCACCACUGUUGGAUGAGAGCGCCCUCAAGCUAGGUGGAGUGUGCAUGUUAAAGUAAUCAGGUAAAGUGGAAGAGCGCCCUCAAUAAACUUGGUAUUUUGGUGCAGCAGUUGAAGGACUCUUGGAUGAAAGGGCGCCCUCAAUCUCAUCUUGGCAAAAAA